GCGUUCACUUCAGCAGCACAUAUACUAAAAUUAGAACGAUACAGAGAAGAUUAGCAUGACCCCUGUAUAAGGAGAACACACAAACGCAAGAAAACAUUUCUCUUUUU